rnacentral:tRNA from 1 species
GCCGGUUUGGCUCAGUGGAUAGAGCGUCAACCUGUGGGCUGAAGGGUUCCGGGUUCGAUUCCCGGUCAGGGCA